AGGGGGUAAUGGGGGAACAGGUCAGAGCGGGGUUGAGGCUAGAACUGAGGUUGUGUGACGAUGUCAUUCAAUAAUAUGCCCAUUCAAGGAGUUCGGUCACACACUCAUAAUUACACACAGUCACAUACACACACACUUGAGUGGUUAAACAGGCUCCCGCCAUUCCGCCCACCCACUGAACUCUACAACCCUGAAGAGCAUGACACUGUGGCAUCACGGCGUCGUGAUGUCACACAAGACUUGGAACAAGACUUGAAACUGUCAGCCAAUCGUUAAACAGGCUCCCGCCAUUCCACCCACUCACAGUGUCCGGGUGAUGUCAUGGCAUUGUGACGUCACAGAACAGAAUCCCUCCACCCACUGAGAGAUGAAUUUCAGUCACUGACCAAGUUCAGGUGUUUUUUUGUGUUCUUGCCUGACUUGUAUAUUUUAUUGUUUGUCUUUGUCAGAAAAAAAAAACUUGUGACAUCACAGAGCUUUGGUUUGGAAAUGUGUCUCUCAUUUCAACUACUCUCUGAUAUAAACCACAACUCCCCAUAUUGAAACUUUGAUAGAAGUUCUGUUUGACUGGCUGUGAAUGUAGUUGAAUGUAAUCAGUGUUGUUUUUUAAAUGUUCACAAAAUAUUCAUGUUGUGUUGUGGUCCUCUGUUGUGUUAGUUGGCACUUAACCGUCAUUUGCUCCAUGGGGCGCCGUACUACUAUGGCUGACCCUGUAAAGCAACACAUUUCACUGAACCUAUUCAGUGUACUGUAUGUGAUAAUACUUUAACUGUACAGAUCAAAAUAUAUUAAAAUAAAACAAGUUCCUGCAUGUCGCGUUUCUAUUUUUGUUCAGUAUAUAUCCUGUGGAAUCUGCUAGUUUCAGUUGUAAUCAGCAGUUAGGUCACACCCUGACCAUAGAGAGCCUUUCUAUUUCUCUAUUUGGUUAGAUCAGGGUGUGAUUUGGGUGGGCAAUAUAGUGUUCUUAUUUCUUUGUUUGGCCGGGUAUGGUCCCCAAUCAGAGGCAGCUGUCUAUCGUUGUCUCUGAUUGGGGAUCAUACUUAGGCAGCCCUUUUCCCACCUGUGAUUGUGGGAUCUUGUAUUUUGGUUAGUUGCCUGUGAGCACGCCAUUUGCUUCACGUUUCGUUUGUGCGUUAUUGUUUUGUUUGGUGAGUUUCAAUUUAUUAAACUAUGUGGAACUCUACGC
rnacentral:lncRNA from 1 species